rnacentral:rRNA from 1 species
AUUGAACGCUGGCGGCAGGCCUAACACAUGCAAGUCGAGCGGAUGAAGGGAGCUUGCUCCUGGAUUCAGCGGCGGACGGGUGAGUAAUGCCUAGGAAUCUGCCUGGUAGUGGGGGAUAACGUCCGGAAACGGGCGCUAAUACCGCAUACGUCCUGAGGGAGAAAGUGGGGGAUCUUCGGACCUCACGCUAUCAGAUGAGCCUAGGUCGGAUUAGCUAGUUGGUGGGGUAAAGGCCUACCAAGGCGACGAUCCGUAACUGGUCUGAGAGGAUGAUCAGUCAGACUGGAACUGACACGAGAUCAAGACUGAUGCGGGCGGCAGUAGGGGAGAAUAGUGGACGGAGGGAUGAAGCCUGACGACCACGUGGCGCGUGUGUGAAGAAUGUAUGAGGAUGGUAAAGCACUUAAAGGUGGGAGAAAGGGCAGUAAGUUAAUACCUUGCUGUUUUCACGAUACCAACAGAAUCACCGCCUGAUAACGUCGUGACACCAGGCGCGGUAAGAGCGCGGAAAAGCACACGUCUAAAC